AAUGGAGCAAAACAAAGAAAGAAGCUUCCGAAAUGGCAUUAGCUCUCGGAGGAAAGAAAAAGAGUCAGAAGAAGAAGGUGAUCAACUAUGACACACCUCGUCAGGUGCAACAAAGUCAACGAUGGGAACAAGCGGAAUCUCAUCAAGACAAACCGCCCUUUCAGUCAAGGCCUCCGAGUCAUUCACAGUGAGCAAGAAACGCAGGAGGCAGAGGCAACUCCCGUGGAAAUGGUUUUCACAGAGGAAAUAAAAGAGGUGGAAUCAGAUCUGGGAAGUAGAACCAGGGAACAGGGAUGAAUUCCGAACAGUCCAAGAAGUAUUGGGGGGACCAAGAAAGAUUGAUGACCAAGAUUGGACCAGGAUUAUCAAAAUAAAUAAUAUUAAAUGUU